rnacentral:rRNA from 1 species
AAGUGAAUGGUGAAAUCUGGCGGCUCAACCGUACAGACUAUUAUUCAAACUGGUAAACUCGAGAAUGGUAGAGGUAACUGGAAUUUCUAGUGUAGGAGUGAAAUCCGUAGAUAUUAGAAGGAACACCAAUGGCGUAGGCAGGUUACUGGACCAUUUCUGACACUGAGGCACGAAAGCGUGGGGAGCGAACCGGAUUAGAUACCCGGGUAGUCCACGCCGUAAACUAUGGAUACUA